rnacentral:lncRNA from 1 species
CUGUGACACUAUAGCUAUAUUUUGAUUCGAAAUGACCAUAAGACGGUUAACGGAGGACCUAAAUGCCACAAUAUGCAUAAAAAUGAGGAAAUAUAAAAAAGAAGAUGUGGUAUGAUUGCCAAUGAGACAAAUAUCCAGAAAGACCACAAUGACACAGACAUCGAGAACUAUAGCUCACCGUACAGCCUUCAACAAUGAGCAAAGCCCAUACCGCAUAGUCAGCUAUUAAAGAUUCCGCAACGAUUAUUAGAAGACCUAAAUGCCAAAAUACACCCGAAAAAAAAAGAAAUAGCCAAUUUUGAAUAAUGAAAUGGAUAUUUUGAAUAAUGGAAUGGACUGCGGCGACCCUUUAGCCCCUAUUAUGGAUAAACCUUAUACCUCAUUCGAAAGCUGAUUACAAGACGAAC